CCUACGGGAGGCAGCAGUAGGGAAUAUUGCUCAAUGGGGGAAACCCUGAAGCAGCAAAGCCGCGUGGAGGAUGAAGGUUUUCGGAUUGUAAACUCCUUUUGUUAGAGAAGAUAAUGACGGUAUCUAACGAAUAAGCACCGGCUAACUCCGUGCCAGCAGCCGCGGUAAUACGGAGGGUGCAAGCGUUACUCGGAAUCACUGGGCGGAAAGAGCGCGUAGGCGGGAUAGCAAGUCAGAUGUGAAAUCCUAUGGCUUAACCAUAGAACUGCAUUUGAAACUGUUAUUCUAGAGUAUGGGAGAGGUAGGUGGAAUUCUUGGUGUAGGGGUAAAAUCCGUAGAGAUCAAGAGGAAUACUCAUUGCGAAGGCGACCUGCUAGAACAUAACUGACGCUGAUGCGCGAAAGCGUGGGGAGCAAACAGGAUUAGAGACCCCUGUAGUC
rnacentral:rRNA from 1 species